rnacentral:rRNA from 1 species
AGUUGAAGAGACGGAGCCGCAGCGAAAGCGAGUCUGAAUAGGGCGUUUGAGUAUGUAGUCGUAGACCCGAUACCAUGUGAUCUACCCAUGUCCAGGUUGAAGGUGCGGUAAAACGCACUGGAGGACCGAACCCACGUACGUUGAAAAGUGCGGGGAUGAGGUGUGGGUAGCGGAGAAAUUCCAAACGAACUUGGAGAUAGCUGGUUCUCUCCGAAAUAGCUUUAGGGCUAGCCUCGGAAUUGAGAAUGAUGGAGGUAGAGCACUGUUUGGACUAGGGGCCCAUCUCGGGUUACCGAAUUCAGAUAAACUCCGAAUGCCAUUCAUUCAUAUCCGGGAGUCAGACUGUGAGUGAUAAGAUCCAUAGUCGAAAGGGAAACAGCCCAGACCACCAGCUAAGGUCCCAAAAUAUAUGUUAAGUGGAAAAGGAUGUGGGGUUGCACAGACAACUAGGAUGUUAGCUUAGAAGCAGCUAUUCAUUCAAAGAGUGCGUAAUAGCUCACUAGUCGAGUGACCCUGCGCCGAAAAUGUACCGGGGCUAAACAUAUUACCGAAGCUGUGGAGUACACCUUUAGGUGUAUUGGUAGGAGAGCGUUCUAAGGGCGUCGAAGGCAGAUCGUGAGGACUGCUGGAGCGCUUAGAAGUGAGAAUGCCGGUAUGAGUAGCGAAAGACAGGUGAGAAUCCUGUCCACCGAAUGACUAAGGUUUCCUGGGGAAGGCUCGUCCGCCCAGGGUUAGUCGGGACCUAAGCCGAGGCCGAUAGGCGUAGGCGAUGGAUAACAGGUUGAUAUUCCUGUACCCGUUGUUUUUGUUUGAGCAAUGGAGGGACGCAGGAGGCUAAGGAAUGCAGACGAUCGGAAAUGUCUGUCCAAGCAGUAAGUCUGAAGAGGAGUCAAAUGCUUCUUUUCUUAAGGACAAGCUGUGAUGGGGAGGGAAAUAAUAGUACCGAAGUUCCUGAUGUCACACUGCCGAGAAAAGCUUCUAGUGAGAAAACAGCGGCCCGUACCGCAAACCGACACAGGUAGUCGAGGAGAGAAUCCUAAGGUGAGCGAGAGAACUCUCGUUAAGGAACUCGGCAAAAUGACCCCGUAACUUCGGGAGAAGGGGCGCUGAUCA